UACGUAGGUGGCAAGCGUUGUCCGGAUUUAUUGGGCGUAAAGGGCGUGCAGGCGGUUUGUUAAGUCUAGGGUGAAAGCUCCCGGCUCAACUGGGAGAGGUCCUUGGAUACUGGCGAACUUGAGGGAUGCAGAGGAAAGUGGAAUUCCCGGUGUAGUGGUGAUAUGCGUAGAUAUCGGGAGGAACACCAGUGGCGAAGGCGGCUUUCUGGGCAUUUCCUGACGCUGAGACGCGAAAGCGUGAGGAGCGAACCGG
rnacentral:rRNA from 1 species